GACGAACGCUGGCGGCGUGCUUAACACAUGCAAGUCGAACGGAAAGGCCCUGCUUUUGUGGGGUGCUCGAGUGGCGAACGGGUGAGUAACACGUGAGUAACCUGCCCUUGACUUUGGGAUAACUUCAGGAAACUGGGGCUAAUACCGGAUAGGAGCUCCUGCUGCAUGGUGGGGGUUGGAAAGUUUCGGCGGUUGGGGAUGGACUCGCGGCUUAUCAGCUUGUUGGUGGGGUAGUGGCUUACCAAGGCUUUGAAGGGUAGCCGGCCUGAGAGGGUGACCGGCCACAUUGGGACUGCGAUACGGCCCAGACUCCUACGGGAGGCAGCAGUGGGGAAUAUUGCACAAUGGGCGGAAGCCUGAUGCAGAAACGCCGCGUGCGGGAUGACGGCCUUCGGGUUGUAAACCGCUGUCGCCUGUGACGAAGCGUGAGUGACGGUAAUGGGUAAAGAAGCACCGGCUAACUACGUG
rnacentral:rRNA from 1 species